AGAUUGAACGCUGGCGGCAUGCCUAACACAUGCAAGUCGAACGGGAGUAGCAAUACUCUAGUGGCGGACGGGUGAGGAAUACGUAGGAAUUUGCCCUUAAGUGGGGGAUAACCCGGGGAAACCCGGAUUAAUACCGCAUGACCUCGAAAGAGCAAAGUGGGGGAUCGCAAGACCUCACGCUUUUGGAGAAGCCUACGUCGGAUUAGCUAGUUGGUGAGGUAAUGGCUCACCAAGGCGACGAUCCGUAACUGGUCUGAGAGGAUGAUCAGUCACACCGGACUGAGACACGGUCCGGACUCCGACGGGAGCAGCAGGUGGGAAUACUGGAC
rnacentral:rRNA from 1 species